rnacentral:piRNA from 1 species
UGCAUGCUGCACAGCCAAUCACUGCCG